rnacentral:rRNA from 1 species
GACGAACGCUGGCGGCGUGCCUAAUACAUGCAAGUCGAACGCUUCUUUCCUCCCGAGUGCUUGCACUCAAUUGGAAAGAGGAGUGGCGGACGGGUGAGUAACACGUGGGUAACCUACCCAUCAGAGGGGGAUAACACUUGGAAACAGGUGCUAAUACCGCAUAACAGUUUAUGCCGCAUGGCAUAAGAGUGAAAGGCGCUUUCGGGUGUCGCUGAUGGAUGGACCCGCGGUGCAUUAGCUAGUUGGUGAGGUAACGGCUCACCAAGGCCACGAUGCAUAGCCGACCUGAGAGGGUGAUCGGCCACACUGGGACUGAGACACGGCCCAGACUCCUACGGGAGGCAGCAGUAGGGAAUCUUCGACAAUGGACGAAAGUCUGACCGAGCAACGCCGCGUGAGUGAAGAAGGUUUUCGGAUCGUAAAACUCUGUUGUUAGAGAAGAACAAGGACGUUAGUAACUGAACGUCACCUGACGGUAUCUAACCAGAAAGGCACGGCUAACUACGUG